rnacentral:rRNA from 1 species
GUGGGGAAUAUUGCACAAUGGGGGAAACCCUGAUGCAGCGACGCCGCGUGGGCGAAGAAGUAUUUCGGUAUGUAAAGCCCUAUCGGCAGGGAAGAGGAAGGACGGUACCUGACUAAGAAGCACCGGCUAAAUACGUGCCAGCAGCCGCGGUAAUACGUAUGGUGCAAGCGUUAUCCGGAUUUACUGGGUGUAAAGGGAGCGUAGGCGGCAUGGCAAGCCCGAUGUGAAAGCCCGGGGCCCAACCCCGGGACUGCAUUGGGAACUGCCGCGCUUGAGUGCCGGAGAGGCAGGCGGAAUUCCUGGUGUAGCGGUGAAAUGCGUAGAUAUCAGGAGGAACACCAGUGGCGAAGGCGGCCUGCUGGACGGCAACUGACGCUGAGGCUCGAAAGCGUGGGGAGCAAACAGG